GGCAGUUAUCAUGACAAGUGGAUGCUGUUUGAGCAGUACCACUGGAAAAAGGCAAGGGCAAAGAAUCAGCCUUACGAAUUCAAGUGGAAUAAGAUACCGAAAGAAGUCAGGGACUCGUAUUAUUACAACUGGCCUGUCUACUUCCCAUAGAAGUCUCUGUGUUGCUCCCCAGCUUGUGAAUCAGAAGAGAUGCCAAAUACUUGUGGAACUUCUGUGGAAUCUUGGCUCUAUCUCUUCUUUGUUCUGUUCUUUCUAGUACUUUUCGAUUUUAAGUUCUUUUUGUAAUGAUCAAUCACUCAACUCUUUACUGUUUAAA